GAUGAACGCACAAGACGUGCCUAACACAUGCAAAUCGAAUGAAAGCCUUUUUUGAAUUAAAGGUUUUCAUGGUGAACGGGUGAGUAAUACAUGAGAAUCAACUUUUAGAUAAGGCAUAAUAAGAGUAAUAUCUUGGUAAUUCCUUAUAUGCGCACUAGUGCUUAAAAAGGGAAGGUAUAUGUUCCCGUCCCGUCUAAAAACGAGCUCAUGCCUGAUUAGCUAGUUGGUGGGAUAAUAGCUCACCAAGGCGAAGAUCAGUAGCUGGCCUGAGAGGGUGGUC
rnacentral:rRNA from 1 species